GUUGGGGGCACCCUGAUCCAGCCAUUCCGCGUGAGUGAAGAAGGCCUUCGGGUUGUAAAGCUCUUUCGGACGGAACGAAAUGGUUACGGACAAUACCCGUGACUGAUGACGGUACUGUAAGAAGAAGCACCGGCUAACUACGUGCCAGCAGCCGCGGUAAUACGUAGGGUGCGAGCGUUAAUCGGAAUUACUGGGCGUAAAGCGUGCGCAGGCGGCGGCUCAAGUCAGGUGUGAAAUCCCCGGGCUUAACCUGGGAAUUGCGCUUGAAACUAGGCUGCUAGAGUGUGGCAGAGGGGGGUGGAAUUCCACGUGUAGCAGUGAAAUGCGUAGAGAUGUGGAGGAACACCGAUGGCGAAGGCAGCCCCCUGGGUCAACACUGACGCUCAGGCACGAAAGCGUGGGGAGCAAACAGGAUUAGAUACCCUGGUAGUCCACGCCCUAAACGAUGCGAACUAGGUGUUGGGGAAGGAGACUUCCUUAGUACCGCAGCUAACGCGUGAAGUUCGCCGCCUGGGGAGUACGG
rnacentral:rRNA from 1 species